rnacentral:tRNA from 1 species
GGGGUUGUGGCUCAAUGGUAGAGCUCUUGCCUCACAUGCAUGAGGAGCUGGGUUUGAUUCUCAGCACCA